rnacentral:rRNA from 1 species
AUGGAAAAGGAAAAGGCAAAUUGGGAUGCACAUCACAUAACCGUGUUUUGUGAGUUAUGCAAAGAUGAGGUGGAUAAAGGUAAUAGGCCAAAGCGUUGUUUGAACCGUAGAGGGUACAAACAUCUUGAAGAGAAGUUCUUUGAUAAGACUGGAAAAAGAUGUUCGCAGAAUCAGUUUACAAAUAAAUGGGACAUGCUGAAGAGACAAUAUGUACAAUUCAUGUUGUUGAAACAUGCGGCGACUGGGCUAGGUUGGGAUGAUGUGAAGAAAACUAUUGUAGCCGAUGAUGACUGGUGGAAAGUUCAUCUUAAGAAAAACCCGAAGCAUGCAAAGUAUAAGAAAAAGGGCUUGUCUAACUUGGAAGAAAUGCAAAGGAGGGCAAGGUCUCACCUAAGGAUGGCAAGUCUGCAAAGGAGGGCAAGGUUUCAAAAAAUGUGA